AGGGUGAAUUCUGCCCAAUGGCUGUAUAGUGAAACUGAGGACUAACGUCUAAAGCGAAACCCAGCUGAAUGGCCGCGGUAACUCUGACCGUGAUAAUGUAGCACAAUAAAUAGCCAAUUAAUUGUUGGCGGGUAUGAAUGGAACCACGAGGGUCUUACUGUCUCAAGAGGAAAGCCGAUGAAAUUAUAAUUGUAGUGAAGAUACUACAUAAACAUUGUAAGACGAAAAGACCCUAUCGAGCUUUACUGGAUGCCGAUAGCGUUAAUUUAGAAUGAUCGAUACUAAGUAUUCUAAUUUUAAGUUAAUAAUUUUUGUUGGCAGGACAGUUUAGUUGGGGCGACUACCUUUGAAUAAGAAACGAAGGCGAGCUUAUGGUAUUAUUUAAAAUCUCAUUAGCCUGACAGUGAGGGGGACACCCCUAGCUGGCACAAGGAAUUACCCAUAUAGUAUAUAAUAUAUACGUAAUGGGCUCCUAUGUGGGCGAUAAUGGCCCGAUAUAAUUAUCCAAAAUAAAUAUCGAAAGCG
rnacentral:rRNA from 1 species